rnacentral:tRNA from 3 species
GGUUUCGUAGUGUAGUGGUUAGCACUCCAGACUUUGAAUCUGGCGACCUGGGUUCGAAUUCCGGCGAGACCU